rnacentral:lncRNA from 1 species
AAUAUGAGUGCAAAUUUCAAACACUGCAAAUGAGAUCUGUAUUGUUUUGGCUGUUUCACCAUUCAUGUGUGGUGAAUCAUUCCUCUUUAUGCCUUAUGAACAUGGAAGUGUGAAUUCUGAGCAAUUGAAUAAUUGCUUUUCAGCAUCCAAAAUGAUGAGAAUUUUCCACCAAUUAUGAAGGCUAAAUUGAACCGCGUUUAUCAGAAAGGAACGAAGCCACAUCAGCUAUUGCAAUUUAAGUGGACAAUUCAAUUUUUUACAAGAGAGCGUUUUCUGCAGAUUCUUUUGAAAUUUUGAGGUAUUGUUUCGUACUAUGCAGAAAAUUCACUGAAAUUUGCACAAAAAUCCGCUCAACCGUUUUCAUGUAAAAAAUUAAAUUGCCCGAUUCAAUUUUUGCAAUAGCUGAUGUGGCUUGGUUCCUUUCCGCUUAACGCGAUCCCAAUUGUGAAAUUGAUGCUCUGAGGCUCUGCUAUUUUCAGCGAUACGUGAAAUUUCAGUUCUGAUUUUAGAGAUACACAGAUAGUGCGAUAUUACAUUUACUCUGUAAUUUUCUUUAACUUUCCUGGUUGAGGACGUGAUCAUUAAUUUGUUUUGAAACAUCGAAAACGCCAGUAGUGUGUCUUUUAUUUGAGUGUUCACAUUUGUAUUUGGCGUUAUUAUAAUCGGAGCAAAAGUUUGCUUGUGUGAAUGAGCAUGAGGAAAAAAGUUGAACUAACAUUCAUUCUGACGACACUGACAUUGGGAUGUUUAGACGGACGAGCUUCCUGGCCUUUCUCCUACACCUUCCCAUCUCUCGACAGCAUGGUAGCCAGUGCUCUGGGGGUCCGGCAACAAAUAGAAGAAUUUGGACUAGGAGCUACUUACCCUCUCGCCUACCUGCCAACCGACAAACUCAUCGAGCAUUGGGGGUUCAAAGCAGAGACUCACUACGUCACAACAGAAGACGGGUAUAUCUUAGGAGUGCAUCGAAUUGCAAACCCAUACACAAUGUAUCCACCCGUUUACUUCCAGCAUGGACUUCUUGCUUCCUCUGAUCUGUGGCUAAUGCGUGGACCGGAGAAGAAUUAGGUAAGUAAAAAGAGUCAUUAGUUUAUUUUAAGGUUAUUUUUUUACCCAAAAAAAAAAAAAAACAUUUUCUCAUUUCUGCAAUUGAA